AUCACCUACGGGGGGCAGCAGUGAGGGAUAUUGGUCAAUGGGGGAAACCCUGAACCGGCAACGCCGCGUGAGGGAAGACGGUUUUCGGAUUGUAAACCUCUGUCCUCUGUGAAGAUAAUGACGGUAGCAGAGGAGGAAGCUCCGGCUAACUACGUGCCAGCAGCCGCGGUAAUACGUAGGGAGCGAGCGUUGUCCGGAUUUACUGGGUGUAAAGGGUGCAUAGGCGGGGAAGCAAGGUAGAAGUGGAAUCCAUGGGCUUAAACCA
rnacentral:rRNA from 1 species